GGGGGGCCCAUCCUCCAAGGCUAAAUACUCCUGACUGACCGAUAGUGAACCAGUACCGUGAGGGAAAGGCGAAAAGAACCCCGGCGAGGGGAGUGAAAAAGAACCUGAAACCGUGUACGUACAAGCAGUGGGAGCACGCUUAGGCGUGUGACUGCGUACCUUUUGUAUAAUGGGUCAGCGACUUAUAUUCUGUAGCAAGGUUAACCGAAUAGGGGAGCCGAAGGGAAACCGAGUCUUAACUGGGCGUUAAGUUGCAGGGUAUAGACCCGAAACCCGGUGAUCUAGCCAUGGGCAGGUUGAAGGUUGGGUAACACUAACUGGAGGACCGAACCGACUAAUGUUGAAAAAUUAGCGGAUGACUUGUGGCUGGGGGUGAAAGGCCAAUCAAACCGGGAGAUAGCUGGUUCUCCCCGAAAGCUAUUUAGGUAGCGCCUCGUGAAUUCAUCUCCGGGGGUAGAGCACUGUUUCGGCAAGGGGGUCAUCCCGACUUACCAACCCGAUGCAAACUGCGAAUACCGGAGAAUGUUAUCACGGGAGACACACGGCGGGUGCUAACGUCCGUCGUGAAGAGGGAAACAACCCAGACCGCCAGCUAAGGUCCCAAAGUCAUGGUUAAGUGGGAAACGAUGUGGGAAGGCCCAGACAGCCAGGAUGUUGGCUUAGAAGCAGCCAUCAUUUAAAGAAAGCGUAAUAGCUCACUGGUCGAGUCGGCCUGCGCGGAAGAUGUAACGGGGCUAAACCAU
rnacentral:rRNA from 1 species